GUUGUAAAUGGACAUAAGUCCAUCAUUUGAUUUGUGUUGUAAAGGGCAUAAGCCCUUCUUAUUAUUUCAUGUAUUCCUUUUGUUUAUUUGUAUGCAAAAUGGAAUAGUUGGGUCCAACGCCCAAUAGGAAAUAACGGUUUAAUUGGAUUAAACGCGUAAAUAAAAUCAACAACUAUCUACCUUAAACCCAAGGUCCAACACAAGGCUCGUGUUGGAUCAAAUUAAUCGGUUCAUAAUCAUCCUAAAACCUAAUAUGACUAUAUAGUCCAUAUGAGGAUGCAAUGCAUUCGUUAGUAGUUCCAUAUAGUCUCACUUAUUUCUUCGAAAUAGUGGGAGUAUUAUAAACUACUAAAUUCAUAUUAACUUGGACCAAUAGUUGUGAUAGGCCCAUGUUCUUUUAAUAUGAUUAAAAUGAUUUUGAUGUAGCCCAAAACUACUCCCUCAACAAACGAAUAUUAAGUUGAUAAGCGAGAGAUAUUUUGAACAUCUCUUCGUAGACCUUCCACCGUGGUGGGCUUCAAUCGUUUGUGACUCAUACACCGUAUUCGUCCAGUUCUGGGGUAUGCAAAGUAUGUGCUUACAUUUUGGAGAAGCCCAUAAACAUAUGAUGAAGUGAAAGUAGGCAACGAGUAUGGCCAAUAUGAUAUUCUUCUGAGGCCAUUCUUGAACCCCUACUUGAACAAGCAUGGUGGGAACGACUUAACUAAGUGCAAUGGUGCCAAUAUGAUAUUCUUCUGAGGCAUCAUUCUCUAGAGGCCAAACUAGAUGGGUAAUUACAAAAGGUUGUAAAUGAAUAAUGCGUUAUUCUCUCAUCAUUAUUGUUGCUUUGAGUGCAAGUGGGAGAUUGUUGGAAGUAUGCCC
rnacentral:lncRNA from 1 species